UCGCAGUUAGUGAUGCUCUUAUUCAAGUGGUUUUGGUUUGGCUGCCUCUGACACUUUAUUCCAUGUUGCCUAAUAGUUUUAAAAGCCCCUAUUUUAUAGUCAGUGCAUCUUUCUGUGGGUCCCCAGAGAAGGGAAGACUGUGAGGUAAGGGAAAUACAGUUUCUUCCCUCCUCCCUCUCUCUCCUCCUCCUUUCAUGCCCUUCUGGGCUCUCUGACAAGGGCUGUUGUGGGCGGGGGAGCUCGCAGCGUUUGAGGCUUUAGUUUUAAAUUCUGUUCAGGUUUUCCUCUAAGUACUGCUCUUCACUGUGUCUGCUCAUAACUGAGUCUCCCCACUUUCCUGGCUCUGCUUAUUCUUAGAGCUCAAAGGCCCCUAGGAUCACUUCUUCUGCCCCAGCCAAACUCAGCUCUCCCCUCCAUUUUGAUGUACCAGAAACAACUUUCGGUCCACAAGAAACAGUGGGUUUGUUUGGCAAGUCCCAGGACACUGGGGUAUGGCCUGGCAAUCAGACCCUGCUGGGCUGGGCUGUGAGUGGCAUGUGAAUGUGAACGCUCCUACCAUGAGCGGCAUCAGGCUGUGUCCUGCUCCUUCCCCUUCUUUCCUUUGUAUAUAGUGAUCCCUGUCCCUGGAACUCUUCUCUCAUUCCUGCCUACUGCCUCUAUUUUCACCUAGCCAACUCCUUUCUUCAAAUGUUUCCUCCUAUAGAAGUCUUUGGGGGUUAGGUAGUGUUAUGGACUGAAAUGUUUCCUCUGCUCCCAAAUCCAUAUAUUGAAAUCCUAAACCCCAGUUUUCAGAAUGUGGCUUUAUUUAGAGAUAGGUUCUUUUCAAAGGUAGUCAAGCUAAAAUGAGGUCAUUAAGGUGGGCUGUAAUCCAACAUGACUGGUGUCCUUAUAAAAAGAGAAAAGUGAACACAGAGCCGUGCAGAGGAAAGAUGAUACAAGGAGACACAGGGAAAAGACAGCCAUCAACAAGCCAAGGAGUGAGUCUCUCACAGCCCUCAGGAGGAGCUAGCUCUGCCAACACCUUGAUCUUGGACUUCUAGCCUCUAGAACUGUAAGAAAAUAAAUGUCUGUUGUUUAAAUCGCCCCACCCAUGGUAUUUUAUUAUGGCAGCCCGAGCUGUUGCACUUAGCCUCUCUGAGCUUCAGUUUCUUCAUGUAUUGACUAGGGGUGAUAAUUUCUAUUUUAUGGGUGGAUGUGAGGAUUGAAUGAGAUGAUAUAUAUGAACAUCCCUGGAUAGAUGGCUGUUCUGUGCACAGGGACAGGCAGGGCAUGUCUGCACAGCAAGUGGGGACUGAAGCCAAUUUGGGACUUAUUGAUCAUCAGGUGCCUAUGGGACAUCCAGGAAGACACUCUAGUAGCAAUGGCACAUACAGUGCUGGAUCAUAAUGCCUGGUUAUGGCAAAAAGACCGCAAUUCCCACCAGAGAGCAAAAAGGAAGUAAAGCUACCAUUGUUGAUCUGAAACUAAAUGGAUUCUUGUCCGUUGUGAGGAGCAGCAGCCUACAAAGCACACUGAAUGCCAAAUGUGUUGCACCAGGGCUACAGGGAGUCGACUGCUCACAGAAAGCAAGCAUUCUGUUCUAAUUCUGUGCUGUAAGCUUUGCAAUAAGAGGCUCCAUAUGAGAAGGCUGGUGGUUGCCCAGCUGGGCUUAUGACAGAUGUGAUUACAUCAACUCCCAAGGAUGAGAGAAUUUGCUACAGAUCAACAAGCAUUUUCAAACAAUAAAAAUUGUAUAGUAUGUAUCUCACCAAUUUUAAGGUGAUGAGUGAGCCUGGCAAAUUCCAAUUUUCAUUAUGAGAAAGACUAAAUAGAAUGUAUUAUUUUUGUAUGCAUGCUUUCAUAUCUAAAGAUUUAGGGUUUUACAUAACAUUGUAUGUUUUUUUCCAUUUUCAGACACACCCAGAUGUUUUUAAUCUAUGCAAAAUAAUGAUGGAUACUUGCUACCUUCUUCAACUAAUUUUCAAGAUGUAUUUAUAUAAAAUAAAAGAGUCUUUUAAAGCACAACUUUUUUCAAAUGUAUUUGUUACUGCACCUUUUGCCCUGGAAAAUUAUUUUUCUAUUUUUAUUUUUAUUUUUUGAGACAGGGUCUCACUCUGUCACCCAGGUUGGAGUGCAGUGGUGUGAUCACAGAUCACUGCAGCCUCGACCCCCACAGGCUCAAGUGAUCCUCCCACCUCAGGCCCCUGAGUAGCUGGGACUACAGGCAUGCACCACUAUACCAGCUGAUUUUUAAAACUUUUUGUAGAGACAGAAUCUCACUACAUUGCCCAAGCUAGUCUCAAACUUCUGGUCUCGAGCCACCCUCCCACCUCAGCCUCCCAAUGUGCUGGGAUUACAGGCAUACGCCACCACACCCAGCCUUAUUAUUUUGCUCUUUAGAGAUAAGAUAUCCAAACUUCAAAAAUAUUGUUAAUUUGGUACAAGUUAAAUCUCAGAAAUUUUGGAAACAAUCGCCUUCUGUAAUAUAUGUAAAAUAUUAUACACAGUGUCUGGCAUACAGUUAGUGCUAAAUAAAAGUUUUUC
rnacentral:lncRNA from 10 species